GCUACGGGAGGCAGCAGUGAGGAAUAUUGGUCAAUGGACGAAAGUCUGAACCAGCCAAGUAGCGUGAAGGAUGACUGCCCUAUGGGUUGUAAACUUCUUUUAUAAAGGAAUAAAACGAGGCACGUGUGCCUUUUUGCAUGUACUUUAUGAAUAAGGAUCGGCUAACUCCGUGCCAGCAGCCGCGGUAAUACGGAGGAUCCGAGCGUUAUCCGGAUUUAUUGGGUUUAAAGGGAGCGUAGAUGGGUUGUUAAGUCAGUUGUGAAAGUUUGCGGCUCAACCGUAAAAUUGCAAUUGAUACUGGCAGUCUUGAGUACAGGUGAGGUAGGCGGAAUUCGUGGUGUAGCGGUGAAAUGCUUAGAUAUCACGAAGAACCCCGAUUGCGAAGGCAGCUUACUAAACUGUGACUGACAUUGAUGCUCGAAAGUGUGGGUAUCAAACAGGAUUAGAUACCCUUGUAGUC
rnacentral:rRNA from 1 species